GCAAUGCUGCUAAGGAAACUGAACCUUGGGCUGGGCAGCUCGUGCCUGGAGAUGGCGCAGUGAAGGCUGCAGUAGUCCGAUCAGUCGUUUAUUCACGAUGCCUGUCAUUCCCUGGGUCUCAUUGUAAGUCCCUGGCUGGCUGGGAACCUUCCCAAUGCUGAGAUUUCGAGGGGUCGCCACCAUGCCCCGCCAGUGUGUGUGGGGGUCAGAACCACCUGUGAGAUUUGGUUCUCUCCUUUCACCACGUCUGUGCAUGGUGUCACAGCCCUGUAAUUCCAGCACUCAGGCAGUGGAAAAGGAGGAUCUGGAGUUCAAGCCUACACUACAUACAGUAUUGGAGGUCAGCCUGGGAUGUUUAUUGAGACCCUGCCUCAAAAGGUAAAGUGUUUGCCUGGCAUGCACAAGGCUCUGGGUUCAAUCCCCAACACUGAAAUAUGAAUAAAUAAAAACAACUCCAAAACAAA